CGACGGCUUAGAUUCUUUUUUCUAACUUUCAAAUUUCCAAAUCCUCUUAAUAACUAAUUCAUAAUAUAUGUUUAAAUAUUUCAAAAACUAUAAUAAAUUUAAAAGAUAAUAUUUUAUAAACAAAAUACCUGAUUUUAAAGAAUAAAUCAUUUUCGUCAAAAGUCUAUUAUUUAAAUAGAUUGGGCUCGACGAAGAAAUCGACAAAAUAAAAUUUUCACAAAUAACUAAAAAGUUAUUAACUUAUCAAAAUGCAUAUUUUCUGAAAAUAAUAUUUUAACAACUCGUUAUUAUUUUCUAAAAUAAGAAUUUCACACCAACUUAAAUCCAAAACUUAGAUACAUCAAACAAAAUUUAUGCAUCGACAUAAAUGCAACAAACACUUGGUAAUGUUUUAUCUAUUCAAGAAAUUAUUUGAAUUAAUUAUAUCACCAUUUCAUUAUUUGAAAACAUAAAUAUUUUCAUUUCUACUGGAAAUUAAUCAUAUAAACUGAAUUAUGUUCAAUUGACGGAUUUAGGGGUUACAGUGGGGCUUGGCACCGGUGAUGGGGCAGAGCUCCAACGAAUCGCAACAGCUAGGGCACAGACAACGAGCUCCGACAAGGUGCAGCAAGCAACAACAAGCAGUGAUGUUGUAACACCCUGAAUUUGGGGUAUAAAAUUUCUUUUCUACUAUCCACCAAAUUUAGGUGUUACCCUCUCAUUUCCUUGCUUUUCUUUUCUUUUUCCUAAUUAAUGGAGAAUUAUUUUGUUAUACAUUAGCGUAAGCCUAGUGAAGUGAGCCCUAGAGGUGUUUUAGUUGUUGAAUUCAUGCCGUUGCAAAUUAUUUAUAAGUACAAAAAGUGUUUGAAACAUGUUAAUAUACCCUGUAGAUGCUUUCGAUAAAUUUUCAUAUUCUUUCGGAAAUAUUUUUCUAUUUUCCGGAAAUCAAAAUCUAUUUAUUUGGGUACUUAAAAAUAUUUUUAGAAACCCUAAAGGAGUUAUGUUUGAUGCAUUUAUUUUUGGAGAAGAUUUUUGUUUGUACAUAAAGUGCAGAGGUUUUAUUUUAAUCAAUUUAUUCUUUGUAUGUGAAGCUCAAUUUAUUUCCAAACAAAAGAUUUUUGUCUAAAAAUAUUUUUCCAUAAAUUAGGUAUUUUUAAGUGUAAAAUUAUUUUUAGGAUUUAUUUUGAUUUUUGAAAGUAUUUGAAUAUAUAAGUAUUCAAUAAACAAAAAAAGAAAGAAAGAAAGAAAAACAAUACACACGCACACGUAUGCCCCUAAGGCCCUAACCCAAUCCUCUAGUGGCCGAAGCCCAUGUGCCCAACAGCGCCGCACACUCCCACUUUCCCUCGCUCUCUUUCACUUGUGCAAGGGACCCACACGUCAGGCCAUCAUCCCCACAGAACAACCGUCUGUAUGCACCGGUCUUCACUGUGAUGCAUGCGCCCACGUCGUGCGGGCGGUUGGACAACUCCCCCUCUUCUCUCUAGGACACCAGCCCUGCCCCUCUCUCUCUUCUCCACGCCCGCCUUGUGCUCGCCACACUGCCUGGUCGCACAUCGCGUUCGGCCAUGGACGCUGUUGCGAGCUCCGUCGCGCCUACCUGCUCGUCGACGUGCGUUGCUGGACCUGAGCCACACCAUCUUGCCGCGCGCUGCGUCCGCUGCUGCGCCAAACUCUUCGCGUCGUCGCUGCUCAAAGCCCUAACCGGCCAAGACCUUCUUCCUCGCGCGACAGCAAGGAGCUGGCGCUGCCCAUGUCCCUGUGCGCGCUCGCCACUGCUGCUUUGCAGCAGCCUCGCCUUUGUCGCACCAUGUGCUAGGAGGCUCGCUGUCUUGUCCGGGGCCCACCGUAUCCGUGCUCGUCGUCAAGGUCAGCGCCUUCCCUCUCUCUCCUCUCAUCUAUCUCUUGCGCACACACGUCUACCAGCUCUCGCGCCUCGCCUCCAUGUCGUGCAUGUUGUCGCGCCGCGCGCUAUAACCCACAUCCUCACUGUCGCAAGCGCAUUGCCACGUCGUGCCAUCGCUCAGCCCCACGCCCUUGCGCACGCUGCUCGCGCAUGUCGUCGCGCUGCCUGCACGUGUCGUUCGUGCGACACGCGCAUGCUAUUUCGCGUGUUGUCGCGUGCUGAUUCACAUGUUGUUCGCGCACGUCGUCGUUCGCGUAAAUCGCUAUUUGCGUGCUUUAAUAAAAUCAUUUCACCAUAUCGUUCAUGUUAAAUAAUUGAUUAAUUAUUUAGUUGUCGGUUAUUAAAAUAACAAUUCAAUCUAAUCUAAUUUAUAAUUUUAAUUAUGCAUUUGUAGAUACCUGUUAACGUGAUGAUGCCAACUUAAAUGGUAUAUUUAAUAUUUGUUUAAUAUAAAAACGACACAAUUUAUUAGUAUUCGUAUGUCGCGUCAUUUGCACAUGGUCACACAUAUUGACGUGCACGCUGUCCGUGUGCUCCUUCGCGUGUCACACGCGUGCUGUUCGCGCGUGGUCGCGCGCGUUAUGUCGCUCGUCAUUCGUGUGUUGUUUGCAUGUCGUUUGUGCGCUAGUCGAGAGUGUCCGCGUGUCGUUCGGACGUGCCGUUCGCGCAUUGUUCUUGCGGUGUCGUGCGUGUUGUUUCACGUGCCGUCAAUGUGCUAUUUCACGUAGUGUCGUGCAUCGUCACACGUCAUUCGAGCAUUGCGCGUGUGCCAUUUUCAUGUGUAGCUUGCGUUGCCGCACGUCAUUUUCGCGACUCGCGCACUAUCCGCAUCCGAUAUCAAAUAGUUUCGCUUAUAAUAGCUUGUAUUAAUUAAUUAAUUACUUGUUUAACCCAACAACUAUUAGAAUAGAAAAUUAAUCAAAACUAAGUAGUAGUUUUAAUUUACAUUAAAUAAAUGUCGAAUAAUGCGAGUAUGUCGAAUUAAAUAUUCUAAUUAAUACUUGUUUAGUGUAAACACGAUAACUUCUCGACCGUAGCUCCGACUAUCGCGUUUCUUCACCUGACCGUAGUAGCAUCUCUAUUUCGUACUGCGUGAUUUAUAAUGUUUCCCUUGUAUGAUGUAAUGUUCUUAUGCAUGUAUAUGUUUGCUUGUGCCUGUUUGUAUUCGCUUUGCGUCGCGAAUAGAAUGCGACCCAUUCCCGAGCUUCGAGGAAUCGAAGAUCAAUCGUUGGCGACCAAGUGAUCUAGCUCUUCGAGUUCUACGAGAUUAAAGACCCUGAGCUUCUAUUUGGUGAAGGCAAGUGUCAUCUGACCCAUUAUGUCGCAUUUACUUUAAAAUUCACUGUUCCGCAUACCAUGAACAACAUAAGGAUUUACUAGUAUUCUGUUUUCCUGUCCUUGUUUACCCUUCGGGAAUUGGUUACUGUGAUUAGUAUUAUGCUAUGGUUUUACUUUAAUUAAUGAACAUGAUGAGAAUAUUUAUGAUACGAUGAUGUCAUCUUGAUUAUGAUGAUGAACUUGUGAUACUUUAGGGGACUCAUACUGUUUUCUGAGUACCUCUCUGUAAGGACCUAUUCGUUGAGAGACCACCCGGGAUAACAGUACAACCAUGAGGGUGGAAUGGGACGCUCUUAGCUGAUUAAUUAGAUGAACUUGGGGUGUAGUUGGCUUUGCCGGAGGGCCAUCAAUGGGGGUUGGGGCAUAGUGCUUGCUUUGGUAAGGGUUGGUGCCGAGGUUCAUUCGAUUUGGUUUUGUUAGUCACCCAACUUAGGGAGGAGUAUUGUGUUUGUACGACUGGUGAAACCUAACGGGUGGCUACACACCAGGGGAAUCUUUGUAAAGGCUACGUAGUUAUACCCUCCAGGCCACUUAGGUAGUGGUCAAUGGGAGUAGCGCUCCUUGGGCAGAAAGGGAAUCACAACUCAUGGGUAAAGUGUGCGACUCUACAGAGGAAUGAAACUGAUAUAUUAGUCGUGCUCACAGUUAAGAGCGGGCUUGGGAUCCUCUUUGAUGAGAGAUAUAGAUGGUUUGAGAUGCUAUGGUUCUAUUUAUGGUUUUGGCUACGAUGAUGAUUAUGAUGUUCCUCGAUGAGGAAAGGAUUCAUGGGUUGGUUAUUGCUAAAACUUGGCUUCUAAUAAUAAUAAAUACCUGACGAACUAAAAGCAACUCCUUGAUCCUAACCCCACAUAAAGCUAGUCCACCUCAGCCAAACGAGACAUUUGCUGAGUACGUUGAUGUGUACUCACCCUUGCUUUCACAAAACACUAGGUUGCCUUUGGUGCAACCUAUGCUCAGGUAAAGAAGGAGAAGAAGGCGUCGAGGUGGAUCUCUAGGAGUUCCAGGACUUUGACGAGUUCGAGGAUUAGGCUAGCGAGCUCCCUAAGUCAGCUGCCUGUGGUGGUUUAUUUACGUUGGCUACAUUUCUAUUAUAUGUACUUUGAUUUAUAUUAUGUAAAUGGCUCUAGUCUGUAAUAUUAUUACUUACUAUUUAUUAAUAUUCGAAGCAUUGUGCUAUGAUGAGUCAUUUAUGUAAUCACUGUGUACGUGAAUUUCUAAUCCUGGCAGGUACAUGGUUCGCAUUCGGUUUACCGUCAAAACCGGGUGUGACAUAAGUGGUAUCAAAGCCUUGCUAACUGUAGGACCGCUAUACUAGAGGAGCAGUGGCUAUUUUAAGGACUUAUUGAUUAUUGCUUCACCUCAUCCUUGAUUUUGCUUCAAAAUAUUAGUCAUACUGACUAAUUCUAUGUCGUGCUCCUAUAUACCCCCUUGCCAAAAGUAUUUUAUUCUAGUGUGGUAUAUACUUCUCUCAAUCUAUUAGAUCUGAUCUCACUAUUAUGCUUGCAAAAUCCUUGUAGAUGCCCCUGACCAUAACUUCUUGUCUUUUGGGAUUCUUUCCUCUUUCGUCAUUACCUUGCUACCAUUGGACAAAUCUCUACUCCCUUAAAUUGACAUGCUCGUACCCCUAGAUUCUUCAAUACUCUUGUUUCCAAUACUUACCUUAGAAAAACUCUAUUGCCUAUUUAAACAUUCCAGAUUAUAUGUUCUUAACCUCCUUGUCUUUUGAGAUCCCUUCCUAUUCCAUUGUUAGAUCAUUAUCUCUUAGCAAUUUAUAUUCCCUUGAACUUAGUAUGCUCAUAUCCUUGGAGUCUUGCAUACCCUUAUAUUUGUUAUGUAUGCUUAUCUUCAUACCCCAAUGUCUAUUUAAGACGUUUCAGUUAACAUGCCAUUGACCACCCAUGUUUCUCGACGAUCCAUUAGCGAUCAUUUUAUUUCGCAUAUCCUAGGUGAUCUCGUUGUUUCGUUAUAACUUCCCUUGGUAAUGAAUUUUUACUUCAACCAUUCGGUUGGAACCUUACCUAUCUUACCCUUAAUUGUUUCCUCUACUUCGCCAUUUCAUGAGUCUUACCUUAAUUCUAUCCUUUGUCAUGCUUUUAUGGAUAUCAUCUUUACCUUUGUCAUCUCUACAUCCCACCCUGUUGCUUAUCUUAUAUCUGCCCUCUAAAAUCUUCUCUCUUCCAUCUCAAUUUGAAAGUUGUAUCUUACCCAUUUUCCUUUGGAUGUGUCCUAUUCUUUGCUGCAUGCGAACUUUCAACUCCAUCUUUUAAUGUGUUUUGUUUGCUAUUGCCUUUACCCUUGUGAUCCUAACUUAAAACCUCCCUUCCCCCCUCUCAAUUCGAGAGUGGUGUUUUACUUAUCCCGCCUUUGAUCGUAACCUUGUCUUUGCCACAUGCCAGUCUUACCUUAGCUCCAUUCUUUAUUGUACUCAUACCCUUGGUUCUUGUGCACCUUCACCUCUUCUCUAUUACAUCCUUGUCGGUUAUCGCCUUUGACCCUUGCAAUAUUGAUGUCUUCUACCUAAAUGCUUAUCUUGAACUUAUCCUUUAUAAGCCUCCCCCUUUCAUUCAACCUAGUUUGAGGGCUAUGAGUUUCCCAUCUCUCCCCUGAUUUCUUUUUAGUCCUUGUUGCCUUACAAGUUUUGUCUUAAUUCCAUCCUUUGCUGCGUCUUUAUUUGAUGUCACCAUCACCUUGUCAUCCGUCGAUCUUGCUUUGACACUUCUCUUUAUUCUUACUCUUCAAAGAUCUCCUCUUUUUCACCUCAAUUUGAGAGUGGUAGUUUACCUAUCUGGCCCUUGGACGUACCCACUUCUUUUCGACUUGCAGGUCCUGUCUUAACUCCAUCCUUUGUGGUACUUAUAUCCUUUGUCCUUAUGCCUAUUUCCCUACUCUCCUAUAUCAUUGUACGUUAUCACUUUUAAAACCCUCGUGAUAUCUAUGCCCUUGCCUUCCUGCUUACCUUGAACCUACCCUUUGAAGCCUCCUCUUUUCCAUCCCUGUUUGGGAAUAAUGCCUCAUCUAUUUCAUCAUUGAUUGCUCCCCCUUCAGUGACACCCUGCAAGUUUUGUCUAAAAUACAUCCUUUGUUGUGUGUUUGUCUGUUAUCACCUCAACCCUUGUCAUCCCUCGAUCUUUACCUUAAUGCUUAUCCCAUACCUGCAUUUUAAAGCCUCCUCUCCUAUUUCAGUUCAAGAGUGUUUUCUUACUCAUCCCGCUCUUGGUCAUUCCCUUUUCCUCUGUCGCAUUGCAAGUCUUAGCUUUUGUUUGAUAUCACCCUUACCUUUGAAAUCACUAGAUCUUUCCUUGAUGCUUAUCUUAGGUUUGCUUUUUGGAACCUCCCCUUUUCUAUCUCAACUCGAGAGUAGUGUUCUACCCAUUAUGCCCUUGGUCGUAUCCUUUUCCUGGUCGCCUACAAUGCUAGCCUUAACUCCAUCCUUUAUUGUGCUCGUGCCCCCAUCCUGCAUGUCUUGUUCUUCCCCUCGUCCUUCAACAACCUUAGAGAGUAGUUAUUCCCUUUUCAAGAAAUACCACCAUCUAACUAACAUUAGCGUAUAGUAAUGAGAUGUUUGUUGUUGUAUGCUUGUGCAGUUUGUCUUUGUGUUAUGACUGAUUUGCUUCUUUGUGAUGAGUGUUGAUGUGUUGUGGCCCUUAGUCCGCAAUGACAUCAGUUUACUAGCUAAGUGCCAUAGAGUUAGGUAGUUGGGUGCUCUCCCUUUUCUCUCUUAAAUCCAUUUAUGCUUACCUUUUCUAUCUACACCCUUUCCUCUUUCACCUAUCCAGUUGGCAAUCUCCAACCUCUCUUAAUCAAUCAAGAUCAGAGUUGGCAGCAUCUUCACCAAGUGUGUAUCAAUGCUCCUGUUAAGGGGGUUAACUGCUAACCCCAAUGAAGCAAUGCGAUCAACAUCAACAAACAAGAUCGAAGUGGCCCAGCGGAAGCAUGGUGGGUCCUAACCCAUGGGUCCUAGGGUCAUCAACAAGUCAACUCAUCAUUCAUAUCGUCUCCAAUAACGAGGAUCAGUUGAUCGUGAACAUCUAAAGGUCAAAUCAACCAGUCCGUAAGUUAAGCUAGAAGAAUCAAAGUUGAAUAGAAGAAGCUAUGGAAAAACCAGUGAACCAAUGUUGUUUUCUUGCUAGUCUCUCCUUGAAUCUCGAGGGCGAGAUUCUGUUAAGGGGUUAUAUUUGUAACACUCUGAAUUUGGGAGUAUAAAAUUUCUUUUCUAAUAUCCACCAAAUUCAGGUGUUACCCUCUCCUUUCCUUGCUUUUCUUUUCUUUUUUCCUAAUUAAUGGAGAAUUAUUUUGUUAUACAUUAGCGUAAGCCUAGUGAAGUGAGCCCUAGAGGUGCUUUGGUUGUUGCAUUCAUGUCGUUGCAAAGUGUUUCUAAGUGCAAAAGGUGUUUGAAACAUGUUAAUAUACCCUGUAGAAGCUUUCAAUAAAUUUUCAUAUUCUUUCGGAAAUAUUUUUCCAUUUUCGAGAAACCAAAAUCUAUUUAUUUGAGGUACUUAAAAAUAUUUUUAGAAGUCCUAAAGGAGUUAUGUUUGAUGCAUUCAUUUUUGAAGAAUGAUUUUUGUUGGUACAUAAAUUGCAAAGGUUUUAUUUUAAUCGAUUUAUUCUUUGUAUGUGAAGCUCAAUUUAUUUCAAAACAAAAGAUUUUUGUCUAUGAAUACUUUUUCCAUAAAUUAGGUAUUUUUAAGUGUAAAAUAUUUUUUAGGUUUUAUUUUGAUUUUUUGGAAGUAUUUGAAUAUAUAAAUAUACAAUAAACAAAAAAAGAAAAAUAAUACACACGCACACGCAUGCCCCUGACCCAAUCCUCUACUGGCCGAAGCCCAUGUCCCAACAGUGUCGCACACACCCACGUUCCCUCGCUGUCUUUCACUUGUGCAAGGGACCCACACGUCAGGCCAUCAUCCCCACAGAACAACCGUUUGUCUGCACCGGUCUUCUCCACGACGCAUGCGCCCACGUCGUGCGGGCGGUUGGACAACUCCCCCUCUUCUCUCUAGGACGCCAGCCCUAUCCCUCUCUCUCUUCUCCACGCCUCGCCUCGUGCUCACCACACUGCCUCAUCGCACGUCGCGUUCGGCCAUGGACGCCGCUGCGAGCUCUAUCGUGCUGGCCUGCUCGUCGACGUGCGCUGCUGGACCUAGGCCACACCACCUUGCCGAGCACUACGCCCGCCGUUGCGCCUAUCUCUUCGCGUCGUUGCUGGCCAAAGCCCUAGCCGGCCGAGACCUUCUUCCUCGCGCGGCAGCAGGGAGCUAGCGCUGCCCAUGUCCCUGUGCGUGCUCACCACUGCCGCUUUGCAGCAGCCUCGCCAUCAUCACACCAUGCGCCAGGUGGCUCGCCGUCGUGUCCGGGGCCCGCCAUGUCCGUCCUUGUCGUCGAGGUGAGCGUGUUCCCUCUCUCUCCUUUCAUCUUUCCCCUACGCACACAUGUCUACCAGCUCCCGCGCCUUGCCUCCAUGUCGUGCACAUUAUCGUGCCGCACGCUAUAGCCCACAUCCUCAAUGUCGCGCGUGCGUUGCCACAUCGUGC
rnacentral:lncRNA from 1 species